rfam:Bombyx mori DNA, contig: Bm_scaf67_contig30425, strain: p50T/Dazao, build 2, whole genome shotgun sequence.
UUAACUCAAAUCUGUAUGGAGUUGGAACGUUUGCCUACGUUUGCCGCUAAGGGCGCUGUUUUAACUGCACACAUAUUUGAGUUA